GCUGUCCUGCAAAUGUCUUGUGAAUAACUGCAUUCAUGUGAUCUACUGGUUUUAUAUGUGUUUAAAAGAAUUGUAUUCCUCUGAUUGUUCGGUAGAAUAACAUUCGAAUAAACUAAGGGAAUGAAACUAUCGAACGAUCAGACCUCCCCUGUGUGAAGUGUGUCCUCAAUUACCCGUUGCAACAUUGUUGCGAACGGGUAAUUGACAAGUUAAGUAGCCGUCCUUUGUUCUCGG